rnacentral:lncRNA from 1 species
GUCAAUUGCUCCCAUUCCUGCAUGGACAGUAAGGGGUUUGCAGGAUUAUCUUUUUAAAGUGUGAAAUGAAACUUGUAUGUUAACUUUGCUGUAUAUUAACUUUGAAAAAAUUAGAAUGAUAACUAGAUAACAUCAAGUAAAUACCAAGAAGUACCUUCGUCUUACACUCUUAAUACUUUUUUGUUUAGGGCAGACUAAUGCUACAUGAACAGGCCUUCAGCAUUUGAAGAGAACUGUUACAGAUCUUCUGAGUUGUACGUGUUUUCUCCACUAUUCUCUGAAAAAAACUGACAAGUUUUGCUGCUUUUAUGAAUUUUACCAGCUACUAAGUCUCAGUGGAGAGUGACUAGGAAGUAGCUGUUUACCGCUUACAGUCAGAAGUGCUGUUUCUCCAGGUGAUGUGUAGGGAGCAAGGCUUUAAUAAUUUGAAUUAUCUGGAGAGAGAAGUCACUAGUGAAUGUGGAAAGUUGGAAAAAAAAAAGAAAAAUCUUUUCCUUGCUGUGUCUGGAUUUAUGGUUUUUAAAGUAUUACUGGAUUUAUUUGGCUUGGGUACAGAAAGUACAGCCAGGUGCUUUAUAAUCUGUCUCAGGUUAGGUCUCAUUAAUUUUAAGAACAGAAGUUAUCUGGGAUUCCCUGGGUAAGCAUGGUUUUUCAGAUGAUAUCUUUCUUGGGACUAGUUAAAAUUGAAUAAUUUUAUUUUUGGAGUCUUUUAAAAUGUGUAGUUGAAAGUUUUCUUUUGGGAUGGUUCAGCAGUUUAGAGCAUGUGUUGCUCUUGCAGAGGAACAUAUUGUGUUUAGUUUCCAGUGCACAAAUGAUGGUUUACUAUCAUUUGUAACUCCUGUUCUACCUGUUCAGGGUAUCUGAGCCCCUCUAAUGCUCUCAUUGGGCACCAGGUGUGCAUAUGUGUGCAUAUACAUACAUGUGUGUGAAUACUCACAUAUGAAGACGCAGAUAAAAAAUUAAGGAUGGUUGAGUUCUAUAGUGGGAUUUUAGCUGUGAUAGUAAAGUUUGGGAGCACACCUGGCACAGAUACCCAUUUGCUGUAUUGAUUUUAAAAACCUAUGUCAGUAAAGAGGCUUUGAGUUUGAAGGUGACGACUUUGGGAAGGAUGGAACCUUAAGACACACUGCUGUCGCUCUUCCUCCUCCUCACCAUCAUCAUUAUCUCAGGUUGGAAAAGGAAACAGCAGUAUUAGGCAGAGGCUGAAGUGACUCUAGUUAACAGCUGGGAUUCGGUGACCUAAAAGAUGGAUAUUGAGAUAACAUGUAAUUUUUCUGGGAUAUAUUACGGCAAGUUAUUUUACUGCUACUCUUUUGUUUAUAAUUAGGUGAAACAUGAUUGACAAUAGUGCCUCACUUGUAUUUCACAUAGUCCUGCUGGCUCUAGAAAGAAGAAACUGGAGUUAGAGUAGGACAGAAUAGCACUUGGUGUAGUUAUUUCUCUGUAACACAAGCUUGACUUAUAGUUGUACUUCUGUUAUAAGGUUUCUCUUCAUAGAUUUGUUAUUUUGGGAAAUGCUUAAAUUUUAACUCCUUCAUGGUACUAUAAAUGAAAAACUUUAAUACAGUUCAGAAUAUGUAAUAGCUGAAAAAGAAACCUUAAUUUGACUUCCACAAUCAGUGUUUCAAGGCAGCAAGGACAGAUUAGUGUUAAUUAGUAUUAUGGUAGGCUUUAUCUUUUUUUAUUCUACCAGUGUAGCUCCAUUUUAUAGGGAAAAAAAAGGCUUAUUUACCCGUGUGUGUUUAAAAACUAUUUGUUUUAAUCACUAUUUUAGACGGUUAUGUUCUGGCUUCAGGGAAGAACUCUACCUUCUGACCUUUUUAUUUCCCUAAUCUUUGCCUUUUUGGUUUUUUUUGUUUGAUCUGUUCGUGUAAGCCAGUCCUUGUAGCUUAUUUUAUACUGCGAAAUAUAAAACCAAGUGUAUAUGAGUGCUCUUUCUUCAUACACACCAGAAGAGGGCAUCAGAUUUCUAAUUGAAUUUUGAAUUGGAAGUGAAAAUGGGAGCAAAAGCAUCAAGGUAGUCUCAUUUCUUUCUAGUCUGUUUCAAAGAUAAGGUGGUGUUGGGUAGUGAGUUAAUUGUAUCUUUUCUCUUACCACUGAAGGCUACUUAGCAUGGCAAGCUAUUUUUAUUUUCUAAAAUAACAGGGAACACAGUUGAGGGUUUUUUUGUCUAUUACAAGUUUUUUACAUUCAUUACUGAAUUAAAUCAUAAACCAUUUUUAACUUCUGCUACUUUAGUUUAUUACCAAGGUUUAACAGAAGCACUGCUUUUCAGUAAAAGGUGGUAAUUAUUGAGUGAGCUAGCUUUCCAUGGCUAUGAU